rnacentral:rRNA from 1 species
AGAGUUUGAUCCUGGCUCAGGACGAACGCUGGCGGCGUGCAGUAAUACAUGCAAGUCGUACGCUUCUUUUUCCACCGGAGCUUGCUCCACCGAAAAAAGAAGAGUGGCGAACGGGUGAGUAACACGUGGGUAACCUGCCCAUCAGAAGGGGAUAACACUUGGAAACAGGUGCUAAUACCGUAUAACAAUCGAAACCGCAUGGUUUUGAUUUGAAAGGCGCUUUCGGGUGUCGCUGAUGGAUGGACCCGCGGUGCAUUAGCUAGUUGGUGAGGUAACGGCUCACCAAGGCCACGAUGCAUAGCCGACCUGAGGGGGUGAUCGGCCACAUUGGGACUGAGACACGGCCCAAACUCCUACGGGAGGCAGCAGUAGGGAAUCUUCGGCAAUGGACGAAAGUCUGACCGAGCAACGCCGCGUGAGUGAAGAAGGUUUUCGGAUCGUAAAACUCUGUUGUUAGAGAAGAACAAGGAUGAGAGUAACUGUUCAUCCCUUGACGGUAUCUAACCAGAAAGCCACGGCUAACUACGUGCCAGCAGCCGCGGUAAUACGUAGGUGGCAAGCGUUGUCCGGAUUUAUUGGGCGUAAAGCGAGCGCAGGCGGUUUCUUAAGUCUGAUGUGAAAGCCCCCGGCUCAACCGGGGAGGGUCAUUGGAAACUGGGAGACUUGAGUGCAGAAGAGGAGAGUGGAAUUCCAUGUGUAGCGGUGAAAUGCGUAGAUAUAUGGAGGAACACCAGUGGCGAAGGCGGCUCUCUGGUCUGUAACUGACGCUGAGGCUCGAAAGCGUGGGGAGCAAACAGGAUUAGAUACCCUGGUAGUCCACGCCGUAAACGAUGAGUGCUAAGUGUUGGAGGGUUUCCGCCCUUCAGUGCUGCAGCU